rnacentral:rRNA from 1 species
CUAAUACAUGGCAAGUCGAACGCUGAAACACUCUGCUUGCAGAGUGUGGAUGAGUGGCGAACGGGUGAGUAACACGUGGGGAAUCUGCCUAUAAGUGGGGGAUAACAUUCGGAAACGGAUGCUAAUACCGCAUAUAUUCAAAAACCGCAUGGUUUCUGAAAGAAAGACGGCUUUGCUGUCGCUUAUAGAUGAUCCCGCGGCGUAUUAGUUAGUUGGUGGGGUAAUGGCCUACCAAGACCAUGAUACGUAGCCGACCUGAGAGGGUGAUCGGCCACACUGGGACUGAGACACGGCCCAGACUCCUACGGGAGGCAGCAGUAGGGAAUCUUCCACAAUGGGUGCAAACCUGAUGGAGCAAUGCCGCGUGAAUGAAGAAGGUCUUCGGAUCGUAAAGUUCUGUUAUUAGAGAAGAACAAGUCAAGGAGUAACUGUCUUGACUUUGACGGUACCUAACCAGAAAGUCACGGCUAACUACGUGCCAGCAGCCGCGGUAAUACGUAGGUGACAAGCGUUGUCCGGAAUUAUUGGGCGUAAAGGGAGCGCAGGCGGUUGGAAUAGUCUGAUGUGAAAGCCCACGGCUUAACCGUGGAAGGUCAUUGGAAACUGUCCAACUUGAAUGCAGAAGAGGUAAGUGGAAUUCCAUGUGUAGCGGUGAAAUGCGUAGAUAUAUGGAGGAACACCAGUGGCGAAGGCGAC